GGCUGCUUGCUAUGGCCAAGACAAUCUAUCCAGCAGCUAGAGCAGAUUAUGAGGAGAUUCUUAUGGCAGGGAAAGAACCAUGCAAAGGGGGGGCAGUGUCUUGUGGCAUGGGAUUAUGUAACUAUGCCGCAGCAGAAUGGAGGAAUGGGAGUACGUGAUCUUGCUGCACGCAACAAGGCAAUGAUAUGCAAGGUAACGGCGAGGAUACUGCAAUCCAGCAAUGUCCCGUGCUACCAAUGGUUCGCAUCAGCAUACUGUCGUAUGGAAAUACCAGUUACAGUGCAUAAUGCAGAUACUGCUAUAUGGCGAUGCCUCAAAUCCUCUCUGCAGCUAGUAAUUCAGUCCACAAGGUGUGAGCUUGGAGAUGGCAAGACGGUGUCUUUCUGGUUUGAUCAUUGGAUCGAGGGUGGCCGGCUUUUU
rnacentral:rRNA from 1 species